CGGGAUGUGGCGCAGCUUGGUAGCGCAUCUGCUUUGGGAGCAGAGGGUCGCAGGUUCAAAUCCUGUCAUCCCGA
rnacentral:tRNA from 8 species